GAGAGCUGUAUGAGUCGAGAGGCUCACGUACAGUUCGGAGAGCGGCUGGUGGGGAAGUUCCGCCGGCCGACUCACC
rnacentral:ncRNA from 1 species